rnacentral:rRNA from 1 species
UACGUAGGUGGCAAGCGUUGUCCGGAAUUAUUGGGCGUAAAGCGCGCGCAGGCGGUCCUUUAAGUCUGAUGUGAAAGCCCACGGCUCAACCGUGGAAGGUCAUUGGAAACUGGAGGACUUGAGUACAGAAGAGGAAAGCGGAAUUCCACGUGUAGCGGUGAAAUGCGUAGAGAUGUGGAGGAACACCAGUGGCGAAGGCGGCUUUCUGGUCCGGUUCUGACGCUGAGGCGCGAAAGCGUGGGGAGCAAACAGG